rnacentral:rRNA from 1 species
GAUGAACGCUGGCGGCGUGCCUAAUACAUGCAAGUCGAGCGAACAGACGAGGAGCUUGCUCCUCUGACGUUAGCGGCGGACGGGUGAGUAACACGUGGAUAACCUACCUAUAAGACUGGGAUAACUUCGGGAAACCGGAGCUAAUACCGGAUAAUAUAUUGAACCGCAUGGUUCAAUAGUGAAAGACGGUUUUGCUGUCACUUAUAGAUGGAUCCGCGCCGCAUUAGCUAGUUGGUAAGGUAACGGCGUACCAAGGCAACGAUGCGUAGCCGACCUGAGAGGGUGAUCGGCCACACUGGAACUGAGACACGGUCCAGACUCCUACGGGAGGCAGCAGUAGGGAAUCUUCCGCAAGGGGCGAAAGCCUGACGGAGCAACGCCGCGUGAGUGAUGAAGGUCUUCGGAUCGUAAAACUCUGUUAUUAGGGAAGAACAAAUGUGUAAGUAACUAUGCACGUCUUGACGGUACCUAAUCAGAAAGCCACGGCUAACUACGUG